rnacentral:rRNA from 1 species
GACGAACGCUGGCGGCGUGCUUAACACAUGCAAGUCGAACGGAAAGGCCCUGCUUUUGUGGGGUGCUCGAGUGGCGAACGGGUGAGUAACACGUGAGUAACCUGCCCUUGACUUUGGGAUAACUUCAGGAAACUGGGGCUAAUACCGGAUAGGAGCUCCUGCUGCAGGGUGGGGGUUGGAAAGUUUCGGCGGUUGGGGAUGGACUCGCCGCUUAUCAGCUUGUUGGUGGGGUAGUGGCUUACCAAGGCUUUGACGGGUAGCCGGCCUGAGAGGGUGACCGGCCACAUUGGGACGGAGAUACGGCCAAGACUCCUACGGGAGGCAGCAGUGGGGAAUGUAGCACAAUGGGAGGAAGCCUGAUGCAGCAACGCCGCGUGCGGGAUGACGGUCUGCGGGUUGUAAACCGCUUUCGCCUGUGACGAAGCGUGAGUGACGGUAAUGGGUAAAGAAGCACCGGCUAACUACGUG